UACGUAGGGUGCAAGCGUUAAUCGGAAUUACUGGGCGUAAAGCGUGCGCAGGCGGCCUUCUAAGUCGAACGUGAAAUCCCCGGGCUCAACCCGGGAACUGCGUCCGAGACUGAAAGGCUUGAAUCCGGGAGAGGGAUGUGGAAUUCCAGGUGUAGCGGUGAAAUGCGUAGAUAUCUGGAGGAACAUCGGUGGCGAAGGCGGCAUCCUGGACCGGUAUUGACGCUGAGGCGCGAAAGCCAGGGGAGCAAACGGG
rnacentral:rRNA from 1 species